UAGGACACAGAGGAAAUGGUGACGCAGAAUUCAUUUUCCUUCCACCAUCUUUCGAGACAGUCAGAAAGAGGGCUCUGUGAGCCUACAGCCUGGAGGGGUCACCUGCCCCUUCAACACGCAGGAGAAUGGAAGAAUGCUAAUACCAAGUUUGCUUCGAAGAGUUUUUAGAAAGACCUACCUAGUCAAAAGUGGUGAAUUUGAAUUUUUUAAACUUGCAAAAGCGUAUAUACUUUAUAUAAUCAGCUGAGAAGCAAUUCUUUAGAAAAAGGUGUUUGUUUUAAAGUGUAAAGAAAUUAGGUGAAAGUUUUAUAAACAUUUCCAGCAAGGCUUCUCCAAGUGGAGUUGAUCGACAAAACCAGAUUAGGGGAUGAGAAUUGAAAUGAGUUGCUCCAGCCUCACCUCAGAAGAGGAAACUCAGCUUGGAAACAAGAGAAUUGGGAGAAGGGGGAGAGACUAGAGGACAUGACAGAUAAAAGCUACUUUUUUUUUUUGCACCUUUUUACCCAUUAACCCUAGCUUUUCUGUUCAAGGUUUCAGAGAACAGUUUAACUAUUGAAGAAGUCACAUUAAGAAUGUUUCAUAACUAACCCAAACCAAAAUAUGGAUGCAUAGCCAGCUGUCCGAGUUUCCAAAUGCGCUUUAUGUCUCAUCAUAAAUCACACAGGAAGACUAAAUGGCAUCCUGGCUUUUCUGGAAGAAACUUCAAAGGAAGCACUGACUUCCAUAUUGCCAUAGAGGCCUCCUUGACUUCAUGCAAUCAGCGUAUGCUUAAAGAAUCACAAGUCCAACGCUCAAAAAUGUAGCCCUUUAUGUAUGUACUGGGGAAGCUUGCCACGUGCAUAAUCCCUUUCCUAGAGCGAACAAUCCCUGUUAAUUUGUGUUAACAACUAGAAUUUUUACAUAAAGUACAGGGCAGGGAUCAAGCAGAGAAUGCUGAUUUCCCAUGCAGUGGCCUGGACAUUUUGGGGACAAGCAUGCCCAGUUUAACAAAAUGCAUAGGGCAUGGUAGCCCAUAUAUUAGAUUUGGCAGUUUGGAGAAACAGAUUGCUCCAUGACCCAUCCCUCCAGAGGGAGCCUUCUGCUGGGGAGUGGAGUUGAGGAGCCCACUCUGCACUGCAGUUUCCAAUGCCCCCUCCCCAGGGCACAACACCGUUCUGCUUGCAGACAGGAGGCAACUGAUGUUUUCUGGCAAUGCAUAUUUGCAUCGUGUAGUUUAAAUUUGCUAAUACACUUGAUAUGGAAAGAAGCUCCCCCCGCCCCCAUGCUGUAUGCAGAACUGAAUUCAAAAGAUACAAGAAAAAUCGAGUUUCAUUAGUGCGAGCAGAUUUGGGGUUCAGUUCUUUAACUACUGCUGCAAUUUUUCUUACACUGACAUUUGAUCUGCAGGUGCAUCAACCAAUGAAAAUAUUGAGGGUUCUUUAUUAUCCCCAUAAUGAAGAAAAUCUCUCUGCCAGCCUAGCGCUGGGACCCAUCUGGCCAUCCUUGUCAUUGAUUGUGGCAGAGAAACACUGGG